rnacentral:lncRNA from 1 species
ACGGAGGGGGAAAGUGCGACUUAAGAAAGGAGGGAGUUGCAACGAUAGUAAGGAAGUGGAGAAUGUGAGAAAGAAGGGUUGACAUGAUGACAAUGUAGUAAAACAAGAAAAAAAGGGACAUCAUGGAAUUAUGGUGAGAGAAAAGAGGAAAAAUUGGGGGCACAAUAGGAAAUGAUAGCUUGGAGAUAGCAUUGGACAAUGACGAGUAACGACGACCAAGCGACAUGACAUGGGUUUAUUAUAAGAAGAAAAAAACUUACAUUUAAGGUGAUAUAAAGGAGAUUUAACAACGAUUAUAUAAAUAACUAUCAUUAUUUCAUAAUUUUUGAACUUAUAGUGGCAAUUAUCACCUAAUCAUAGUUAAAAAGUUU